GAUGAACGCUGGCGGCGUGCCUAAUACAUGCAAGUCGAGCGAACAGACGAGGAGCUUGCUCCUCUGACGUUAGCGGCGGACGGGUGAGUAACACGUGGAUAAUCUACCUAUAAGACUGGGAUAACUUCGGGAAACCGGAGCUAAUACCGGAUAAUAUAUUGAACCGCAUGGUUCAAUAGUGAAAGACGGUUUUGCUGUCACUUAUAGAUGGAUCCGCGCCGCAUUAGCUAGUUGGUAAGGUAACGGCUUACCAAGGCAACGAUGCGUAGCCGACCUGAGAGGGUGAUCGGCCACACUGGAACUGAGACACGGUCCAGACUCCUACGGGAGGCAGCAGUAGGGAAUCUUCCGCAAUGGGCGAAAGCCUGACGGAGCAACGCCGCGUGAGUGAUGAAGGUCUUCGGAUCGUAAAACUCUGUUAUUAGGGAAGAACAAAUGUGUGAGUAACUAUGCACGUCUUGACGGUACCUAAUCAGAAAGCCACGGCUAACUACGUG
rnacentral:rRNA from 1 species